rnacentral:lncRNA from 1 species
CUUCCUAGGAGGAAAUAACUCUGCUUCUCAAUCACAGUCUUCUGACUUUUUGCAGCCACCCAGAACUGGCUGUUGGAAUUGAGCCUCUCCAUCUCAACCUCGUGUCCUUGAUCUUUUAGGGGACGUGCUCCAUUUGACCAACUCUACCACGUCCUCAGGCCUCCCAGCGGCUUAAAGGAGACUCUUCUCCACAAAGUGGGUGAAAUGGUGCUCCUUUUGAAGUGCCUGAAGAUGAGCAGGGCCCAGCCCAACAUUGUUGCAGAGUAGGAGAAUGGCAUCGGGAUAGCUAAAAUAAAACUGCAUCAGCAAGAAAACCUCCUGCCAUUUCAUCUUGCUCACACCUUCCAGGGAGACAGCAUUUCCUGACUUCGUUGAGGGUAAUUUUUCCUGUACCAGAAGCAUUGCCUCUGUUUGCAAAAGAGGCUCUCCAGGCAUCCAGGUUGUUCACUUGGGAUUGUUUCCUUGGCAUUUGGGACCCAGAUUUUCGCUGUUCUUGCACCAUCUCUCUUCACGCCACUGGUUAUGUAUGUGUAAGUAGGAAGUUAGUUUUUAUUCUCACUCUGAGGGGUUGGUUUCCAAACUGUUUAUUGAGUAAUAAAAAAAGAAAAUUACAAGCCAUUGCCCAGG